GCGGCAGUAGUUCAGCUGGUAGAACGUCUCCUUGCCAAGGAGAAGGUCGACGGUUCGAGUCCGUUCUGCCGCUCCA
rnacentral:tRNA from 1 species